rnacentral:rRNA from 1 species
GACGAACGCUGGCGGCAUGCCUAACACAUGCAAGUCGAACGGAGAUUAUUUCGGUAAUCUUAGUGGCGAACGGGUGAGUAACGCGUAGGCAACCUGCCCUUUAGUUGGGGACAACAUCCCGAAAGGGGUGCUAAUACCGAAUGUGACAGCUUUCUCGCAUGAGAUUGCUGUGAAAGAUGGCCUCUAUUUAUAAGCUAUCGCUAAAGGAUGGGCCUGCGUCUGAUUAGCUAGUUGGUGGGGUAACGGCCUACCAAGGCGACGAUCAGUAGCCGGUCUGAGAGGAUGAACGGCCACAUUGGGACUGAGACACGGCCCAG